GGGUUGUGAGGUUAAGCGAAUAAGCGUACACGGUGGAUGCCUAGGCAAUCAGAGGCGAUGAAGGACGUGCUAAUCUGCGAAAAGCGUCGGUAAGGUGAUAUGAACCGUUAUACCCGACGAUAUCCGAAUGGGGAAACCCAGUAUCCAAUGGAUACUAUCAUUAACUGAAUCCAUAGGUUAAUGAGGCGAACCGGGAGAACUGAAACAUCUCAGUACCCCGAGGAAAAGAAAUCAACCGAGAUUCCCCUAGUAGCGGCGAGCGAACGGGGAGCAGCCCAGAGUCUUAAUCAAUAGCAGUGUCAGGAGAACGGUCUGGAAAGUCCGGCAGUAAAGGGUGAUAGCCCCGUAUCUGAAGAUGCUGUUAUUGUGAACUCGACGAGUAGGGCGGGACACGUGUUAUCCUGUCUGAAUAUGGGGGGACCAUCCUCCAAGGCUAAAUACUCCUGAUUGACCGAUAGUGAACCAGUACCGUGAGGGAAAGGCGAAAAGAACCCCGGCGAGGGGAGUGAAAAAGAACCUGAAACCGUGUACGUACAAGCAGUAGGAGCCCUCUUUAUGGGGUGACUGCGUACCUUUUGUAUAAUGGGUCAGCGACUUAUAUUCUGUAGCAAGGUUAACCGUAUAGGGGAGCCGUAGGGAAACCGAGUCUUAACUGGGCGAAUGAGUUGCAGGGUAUAGACCCGAAACCCGGUGAUCUAUCCAUGGGCAGGUUGAAGGUUGGGUAACACUAACUGGAGGACCGAACCGACUAAUGUUGAAAAAUUAGCGGAUGACUUGUGGAUGGGGGUGAAAGGCCAAUCAAACCGGGAGAUAGCUGGUUCUCCCCGAAAGCUAUUUAGGUAGCGCCUCGUGAACUCAUCUUCGGGGGUAGAGCACUGUUUCGACUAGGGGGUCAUCCCGACUUACCAACUCGAUGCAAACUGCGAAUACCGAAGAAUGUUAUCACGGGAGACACACGGCGGGUGCUAACGUCCGUCGUGAAGAGGGAAACAACCCAGACCGCCAGCUAAGGUCCCAAAGUCAUGGUUAAGUGGGAAACGAAGUGGGAAGGCUCAGACAGCCAGGAUGUUGGCUUAGAAGCAGCCAUCAUUUAAAGAAAGCGUAAUAGCUCACUGGUCGAGUCGGCCCGCGCGGAAGAUGUAACGGGGCUAAACCAUGCACCGAAGCUGCGGCAGCGAGUUGUUGGGUAGGGGAGCGUUCUGUAAGCCUGCGAAGGUGUACUGUGAGGUAUGCUGGAGGUAUCAGAAGUGCGAAUGCUGACAUAAGUAACGAUAAUGCGGGUGAAAAACCCGCACGCCGGAAGACCAAGGGUUCCUGUCCAACGUUAAUCGGGGCAGGGUGAGUCGACCCCUAAGGCGAGGCUGAAAAGCGUAGUCGAUGGGAAACGGGUUAAUAUUCCCGUACUGGUGGUAACUGCGAUGGGGGAACGGAGAAGGCUAGGUUGUCCGGGCGACGGUCGUCCCGGUUCAAGCAGGUAGGCAGAGUGAUUAGGCAAAUCCGGUCACUUAAUGCUGAGAUGUGAUGACGAACCACCAAGGUGGUGAAGCAAUUGAUGCCCCGCUUCCAGGAAAAGCCUCUAAGCUUCAGGUUACCAACAAUCGUACCCCAAACCGACACAGGUGGUCAGGUAGAGAAUACUCAGGCGCUUGAGAGAACUCGGGUGAAGGAACUAGGCAAAAUGGUGCCGUAACUUCGGGAGAAGGCACGCUGGCGGUAGGUAAAGUCCCUCGCGGACGGCGCUGAAGCCAGUCGAAGAUACCAGCUGGCUGCAACUGUUUAUUAAAAACACAGCACUGUGCAAACACGAAAGUGGACGUAUACGGUGUGACGCCUGCCCGGUGCUGGAAGGUUAAUUGAUGGGGUCAGCCGUAAGGCGAAGCUCCUGAUCGAAGCCCCAGUAAACGGCGGCCGUAACUAUAACGGUCCUAAGGUAGCGAAAUUCCUUGUCGGGUAAGUUCCGACCUGCACGAAUGGCGUAAUGAUGGCCAGGCUGUCUCCACCCGAGACUCAGUGAAAUUGAACUCGCUGUGAAGAUGCAGUGUACCCGCGGCAAGACGGAAAGACCCCGUGAACCUUUACUAUAGCUUGACACUGAACAUUGAGCCUUGAUGUGUAGGAUAGGUGGGAGGCUUUGAAGUGUGGACGCCAGUCUGCAUGGAGCCAACCUUGAAAUACCACCCUUUAACGUUUGAUGUUCUAACCUAGGCCCAUAAACUGGGUCGGGGACCGUGUCUGGUGGGUAGUUUGACUGGGGCGGUCUCCUCCUAAAGAGUAACGGAGGAGCACGAAGGUUGGCUAAGCAUGGUCGGACAUCAUGCGGUUAGUGCAAAGGCAUAAGCCAGCUUGACUGCGAGAGUGACGGCUCGAGCAGGUACGAAAGUAGGUCUUAGUGAUCCGGUGGUUCUGAAUGGAAGGGCCAUCGCUCAACGGAUAAAAGGUACUCCGGGGAUAACAGGCUGAUACCGCCCAAGAGUUCAUAUCGACGGCGGUGUUUGGCACCUCGAUGUCGGCUCAUCACAUCCUGGGGCUGAAGUAGGUCCCAAGGGUAUGGCUGUUCGCCAUUUAAAGUGGUACGCGAGCUGGGUUUAGAACGUCGUGAGACAGUUCGGUCCCUAUCUGCCGUGGGCGUUGGAAGAUUGAGAGGGGUUGCUCCUAGUACGAGAGGACCGGAGUGAACGCACCACUGGUGUUCGGGUUGUCAUGCCAAUGGCAUUGCCCGGUAGCUAAGUGCGGAAGAGAUAACCGCUGAAAGCAUCUAAGCGGGAAACUUGCCUCGAGAUGAGUCUUCCCUGUCACUUUAAGUGACCUAAAGGAACGUUUAAGACUAAGACGUUGAUAGGCUGGGUGUGUAAGCGUAGCGAUACGUUGAGCUAACCAGUACUAAUGAACCGUGAGGCUUAACCUGACAACACCGAAAGUGUUUUG
rnacentral:rRNA from 1 species